CCUCACGCAGCGGCCGCCGCCCGCACCGGCCUGACAAGCAGGACAAGAGCGCCGAACAAGGAGAGGACAGGGGCGACGACUGCGUGGUCGUACCAGGGUAGGGGUAUUCCCUCACCUCCAUUCCCUGCCCGCGUAGUUGCAGGAGAAGAUGUACGGCAAGGAGAUUACGGUUACCGACCGCGAGAUGGUAGAGGAGCGCGCGGACCAGAUGCUGAGCGAGGCCACGGAGGCCGACGUCGGUUUGGGUAAUGGUUGCUAUGCUUUCUUCCAUUAUUUGAAUUAGCUCGCUCUGUUGGGUCGUGUGCGUGUAGGAUAUGGGUGCUCAUUUUUUUCUUUCAGAGACUUUGGUACAUGCGAUUCUGUUCAGUGUGCUAUCGGCAGUGCGCUCAUUUGUGGGCAUGCUAUUUAUUUUCUGUCUUUGUCCAUUCACAGGUUUGCCCUGGAUGCAUGAUCCUGUUUUUGUACAUGCCAUUGUGUAAGCUAAGUGUGUGGACUUUCUCUCAUGUGUUAUAUUCUUGUUGUAUUCACAUAUUUUUAUUAGUUUUGCAAGUCAAACGUUUACCCUGCAGAUAAUUGUGAUGAAAUUUAUAGGGCGAUCACACACACUGAUUUGGUUGUUCGUGUCAAGAAUAUGGGGGUAGAGGUUAAGGUUAUCCACAAUGCAUCUGUCAUGAAUGCUAUUGCCGUUCGCGACGACGGCGAAGAGUUCAUGGCCGGAAGACGUGGGGUCACGCUCACGCGUCGGCGCCGGUGAGGGUGGCCCUGUGAGGCGGACCACCUCCACGCAGCCGCAACGGCCGCCUCUGCGGCCGCCGUUGUGGCGAGCGCGACCGCCACCGCGUGCUUGCUCUGCUCUUCCUCCGCCUGCCUUAUCUGAAUCUGAUCCGUUGUCGGCUCCGGCUCCGGAGCUGGCAGGGCAAACGAGUGCUGGGUCUUGAGCUUCCCCACCAGCCAUCUCUUGAUCUUCACCUUCUGAAAAAUGAACGGAAAAUCUUGUACCAUGGAAUCACCUGUACUUGUAGUUGGUUUGGUCCAUCAUCGGUCUCAAAAAAGUACAUUGUUAAUUACUGUUGAGCAAGCUUGUGUGAUGUUACGAGGCGAAGUGUUUAACUGUUAAGUGGUUGAUGCCAAUGAUGUCUUACUUGAAAUCUAUUUGACACCGCAGGAAAGGACUUCACAAUACGAUGGAAGCAACCUGCAUUUUUGAAAUGUACUGGACUAAUUUCAUCACAAAUAACUAGGUGGAAUGGAUUAUUCAUCGAUGAAUCGAUCACAGCUGCUAAAAGGAGGAAUCACGCGCGGGUCACGGAUGAUGGAUCUUGGACUACGGGAUGAGAACAAAGGCUUCGAGGCUUCUCUUCUCAGCUCCUAUGCUGGUGAAAACCUCGAGACCAUUUUUCAAGGACAGACAUUCCACGCGCCAAGUGAGAUUUCACUCUAGGUGCAUCAGGUCAUGGCAGGAGCAGCAGCAAAUGGAAGAAACAAUAUUGCACAGGAUUGCAAGGCUGAAACCUUGGGACACAUGGGGUUUCAACUUAAAUAUUACAUGAUAUGCAUAGACGUAAGUUUGACUUUCAUAAUACACGCCAAACACUUCUAAAUUUUUGUCGUGCAUGACAGUGGAAACAUCUGUGAAUCAUGUGGCAAAUAAGUGACAUAAGGUAUCUUUGUGUGAAGAUUGGUGGCUUGGUUUCAUUCUGACAGUCUAUAUGUUUUCCCUCUCUAGGGUAAUGGAAAAAAGGACUUACCCAGGGUAUGUUUUUCUCUCUCGAACAAUAAUUAAUUUUCAGACUACUUAGAUAACUCUUUAAACUUUUUAACUGCUUGAUCACACAUAUCAUAUUUAUGUGCUAAGAAAGGAAUUGUUAGCUGAAACAAAUAAUGUUGUGUGUUGGUGUCAUGUACAUGACUGCACGACAACAUGUGCCAUGUAGUGUGUGUUGGAUACUUGUUUUCUGAAUUUAGCUCUUUGUCGAAUUGGCUUUUUUUAUGUGUGAAGAAUUUAUUUACAACUUGUAUCAUGAGAAAUUUAUCUGACAUAUAACAAUAUAUUUUCUAUACGUGCAAUAUAUUUCAAGAUCUAUGAUAAUGAAGUACUAGAGCAUCUGAAACAAACUGGAUUUUUCAGUUACUCUUUUUAUUUACGGGAUUUGUAUGUUCUGUUGAUAGUGAUGGCGAAUUAGACUCAUUCAAAGGUAAAUACAGAAUACUCAGAUCAGAUACUGUCACUUGCUUUUGUGGAUACGGGUGAGGGUUAUGGUUUUUAUGUGACUAAUUAGGAACAUGCAAGAGAAAGGAUGGAAUAUGAUCAAGUUUGGUUAUUUAUCUUUAGUUCCAAACUACAUAAUGUUUGUGCUAUUUUCACCUUAGAUUCAUGUGCCAUGGCAGAGACUGGUAAAAGUUUCAGACAUUUAGAUUUUCAAAUUACUUCCUCUUUAAUUGAUCCUAUAUGAUGUCAUACCAAAUAACCCCGGUCACCUUUGGCCAUGUCGAGGGACGCGGCGACCGCAUGCAUGCUUUCGGUAGUAUAACUGCACGACAUUCUAUGUAGCCACUGUAUGAAGCAGGUCUGGGGCAUGGCUCAAUGCUGCCGCCACCUUGGACCCACUGUCAAUUUACAGGAACAUGAUGAUAAUGUGUUUCACUUGUGUUAGUGAUAUUUUUUUUAUCUGUAGUUUUUCUUUUAAAUUUUCCCAAGUAUUGUUCACCAUUUUUACAUGACAUGUAAGAUAUAUUACUUCAAACUUAGUUUCUUCAUAUUUGCCCUAAUUUGUACAGAUUUGAUUUGAUUAAAUUGACACAUCAUGUUCUCUGUCAGAACUUACUUCCUUGAAAGGUAUUUUGUGCGGACACUCUAGAAAGAUGAAGACAUGUAUGUGCCCGGUUAUUCUCAAGCUAUUUAAUAUAUUAGUGGUGUCAAGAGGACAAGUGCAGGUUCUUCAUGUUAAUUCUGCAAGUUUCUCUCCAAAGAAUAAAAUGCCCUCAAGGGUCCUACUAAAAAAAGAAUUACAUCAGCAAGUUUAUUCAAUAGUUCAUCCUCUGUUUUGCCCCCUUGUUUGUUAGUUAUUCAGUUAUGGGCCGAGGUGGGAGUAUUGAUUACUGUUUGUUCAUGUAUUGUUUAUUGUUCAUGUAUGAUAAAAAGAUAAAUUUGGUGUAUGAGAAAAAGUUUAUUGUGUUCAUGUAUUGUUCUGACCCUAUUUGUCUUUUUUGCUGCGAUCUACUCAUAUGUUUGAAUUAUUUGAAAUUUGGAAUGUACAUCACACAGCAAAUUAUAUUUCAUACAAAAAUGGGAUUUUUUAAAUUUUUGCAGUAUUUUUUUACGAUGUUUCUCUUCAUUGGGUGCAGAUAAGCCUAGCCUCAGAAACGAGUAUUCUACAUGGGGUAGGCAACAAUAAUUCCUCAUGCAACUUGGUAUGUUUGGGUGGUUAUCCAUUAUUGUCAUGAUUUUAUGGUUUCUAAUAUGUACCGGUUGCGGAUUUUGCUGCCAUAUACAUUCUUCAGCCACUUUCUUAUACUCCAUCAAGAAACAUACAUGCCUCCUAUAUGUCUUGGACCCUGUUGCUGCAUCACAAUCAUUAGACAUUAUAACUCUUGGAGCUGCAUUGAAAUUAUUCAUAUUUUAGAAGGAAUUCAAUGACACACUCGAAGUAGCUCAACCCGGCUGGAAUUAUGAUAAAUAUAUUUGGCAACAUAUAUUAGCGGUUGAUAUUCCAAUGAGUAUAGAAAAGUAGAUUGAUCUAUUUUAAUGUUAGAGGAUACAAUCAUUUAUUUUAUUAAUUUGCAACGAUGUGUCUGGUCAUUUUGCUUUUGAUUUUAUCCUCUCGUGAAAUAGUAAAUAAUUGGUUCGUAUGUGAAACCUUUAAGUAUAUAUAUAUAUAUUACUUUUGUGUAAGAUGGUUAAGAGGUGAGAAAGAAGUUGUAUUAUACUUCCUCAGAUACUGUGUGAAUGAAGCUAAAGACAACAUUCCUGACAUUAUACGGGGAUUUCUUAAGCCCAUCAAAUAGAUCUUAGUUUGUCACAGAUUCUUAUUUGAAUAAUUGUUCUUUAUGUAUACAUCAUUGAAUGUCAUUCUUUAUCAAACUAGAUGCGAGUGAAGUGGAUUUCAAUUGCUUUCUAAUGGUUGUGGCCUAUCUUUUUCUAUACAAGCAAAAUUUGACAUCCAUCAUGUUUAUAUAUGUAAUAAAAAAGGCUCGUGACAACGCACGAACAUUCCAGCUAGAAGCGACAUCUUCCCAAGGUGUGCUCACAAGUAUGAUAUGUUUCUUUUUCUCCAUGUUUAUGCCAUCACUCGCGGCGGCGAGAUGCUCAUGCAUAGGGUAAACUCCAUGUGGAGAUGUCGAAUCAGCACCUGUUGGGAGCCCGGAUGAAGAAGGUUGCCGACGGGAGAAUGAGAAGUGAUGAGAUGUUUAGGACAGCUAAUGAAUGAUGUUAUCUUAGUUUGUGGAUUUUGUUUUGGUAGAUUCAAAAACCUUGUUUGAUGUCUGAAGAUCCCUUUUUACCAACUGUUCAAACCAUCUCUUUAUUUUUGUGUAAAUGGUCAAAGUGCAAUUCAAAUAACUAAAUUAGUCUUCCCAA